rnacentral:rRNA from 1 species
UAGGGAAUCUUCCGCAAUGGACGAAAGUCUGACGGAGCAACGCCGCGUGAGUGAAGAAGGAUUUCGGUUCGUAAAACUCUGUUGUUAGGGAAGAAAAAAUGUAUAGUAACUAUAUACAAAAGAGACGGUACCUAACCAGAAAGCCACGGCUAACUACGUGCCAGCAGCCGCGGUAAUACGUAGGUGGCAAGCGUUGUCCGGAAUUAUUGGGCGUAAAGCGCGCGCAGGUGGUUUAGAAAGUCUGAUGUGAAAGCCCACGGCUCAACCGUGGAGGGUCAUUGGAAACUAAUAAACUUGAGUGCAGGAGAGAAAAGUGGAAUUCCUAGUGUAGCGGUGAAAUGCGUAGAGAUUAGGAGGAACACCGGUGGCGAAAGCGGCUUUUUGGCCUGCAACUGACACUGAGGCGCGAAAGCGUGGGGAGCAAACAAG